AGGUGGUGGUGGGGGGGGGGGGGGUGGACCCGCUUGAAAGGGGGAGAAAAUAAUAGAAGAAAAUAAUAAGAGUAGAAAUCCCCAAAGUGCUUAGUCACCGCUGCCCCGGCCCGCCGGAGGCUCCGGGGGAGCUGGAAGCAGCAACAGCUGUCGGUCGGGGAGGCAUGAAAUUGGUCUAAGAGGAUUAUGGUCCAUUAUCAUCAGCCGGAGUGUUUUGCUGGGGUUUUCAAUUAAUAUUCCAGUGCACCUCAGCACUACACGCGGGGACCAGGCCGUGCCCAUGGGGCACUUGACCCGCAGCGUUGCCUGCUGGAGUUGCCUCCUGUCCCUGGGCCAGCAAUGCAAGUGGGGAGUAAUUUCACUAAGCCUCCUAAUUUCAGCAGAAAGCAUGAUGCGGGAGCCAGAAGGCAGCAAAAUCUCUCCAGAUGUUAUUGCAACGGGGAAGGGAAAUCAUCCUCGGUUUAAAGGUAUCUUGUAAAACAUUGCUGCCGGCUUGGCAGAGCCCUCAGGGCACCAGCAGCCCUUCAUUGCCCUGAAAAGCUUCACUUGGACCCCCCCACCCAUGGCCUAGGAGCUUCAUUUAAGCUCAAGGUGGGACCUUGAGCCUCCCCCCUGGGCUGGGCUGGGCAUAACCUUGUGUCCAGCCCCAUCUCCUGGGUGGACCUUGAACCUGUGUUGAAGGUGACCUGGUGUCCACCCCUGUCUUCUGGAUGGACUGGGGGCUUGGGUUGUCUCUUGAGCAGGAGGCCGCAGCUCAGUGCACCCAUCACCAACCCUUGUAGCUGUGUCCAGUGUCCAUUCCAGGACAGAGUCAGCUCCUAUGUGGAUUCUCUGAUGUCUAAUUAGGGCUGAGCUUGUGUUGCAGUUCCUGAGUGGGAGUGUUCAGUGUGGCUCUUUUUUUUUUUUUUUUUUUUCCCCUGCAGAAAGCAAUUUUCAUGAAACGUGUAGGAUCUUGAUAAUAUUGGAGUCCUCUUUUCUUCCACUAAUGGGGCAGAAAGGAGCCAGGGGGCUCAAAAUUACCAGCGAGGAGCUGAGCUGGAUGGAGCACACCUGCACCAGCCUGCUUUCCUAGGCUGAAAAUACACUUGGCUCCAAACCCAGCUCUCACCGUGCCAGGUCUCUGCUCCGCAAGCAUUGUGCUGCCGGGAAGGGGGGAGAGGAGGGUGCCCGGUGUGCCGGGAUAUAAAACAGACGCAUCAGGAUGUGGCCGUGGGAAGGACACGGGGUGAGUGCAGGCAUCUGGGGCGGCUGCUCCCUGGGUCUGAGGAUCGUGGCAGAAAGAUGAGCUGUUGGGGUUUUGGCUCCUCACGGGCAUGCCGUGCUCGGAGGAGGACUGAAAGCAAACAAAAACCUGAGCGUGGGCAGGCAGACACCUGCCUUCUGCUCCUCUCCUGGGUGCAGUGAGCCUCUCCCGGGCCUCAGUUUCCCCAUGGAAGACAUGACCGAGGGCAGAGGCCAUCAGAUGGGAGGGGAACGGGUGGAUCAUCCUAGAUCCCCUCAUUUCCCCUGCUGCUCCGGGCUGCAGCAGAUCACAGCUCUUUAAGGCUGCAAUAAUCCCCAGCCUGGGAUUAGUUUUGCACCUAAUCACUGCAGAACAAAUACGAAGUUUUAUUUACAGAAGCAGAAGAAAGACAAGGCGGGGGGGGGGCGUGGGGGGGAAGCCUCAAGCACGGCUGAUCCCAAGAUAAUCAGGAACUGGAGGGUGGGAGGUGAUCACUGACCUCGGAGACCCCCCCGGCUCUUAUGUAAAGGCAUGUCGUUCCUGUGCUGGAGCCACAGCAGUCACGAGCUCCAGCCCUGUCCCAGCUUGGGCUUGGU